ensembl:lncRNA
ACCACGACCAACAACAACAACAACAACAACAUCAACGUCAGGAGAAAGACGGCGAGCGGAGAGCGAGGUGAAGCUACGUCCCUCGACUAUGUGUGCGUGAUGCUAACAGCAGCGCGGCGAAUGCGAAUGGCGCUAUUGGCUGAUUCGAUAACGGAGAGAAGACGCCGUCGCCGAAGCUUGUGGAGCAUCAGCUGUAAGAUGCCUGGGUGAGCUCAUGACGCUAACGUGCUCAGCCAGACACGCCUGUUAGCAGAAGAACCGAGAGAAAUCGCUCACUUCCUGUUGGGAAGCUGUGGAUCCCAACUGGUCAGUGGAAGCGGCCACACUGGC